rnacentral:rRNA from 1 species
GACGAACGCUGGCGGCGUGCUUAACACAUGCAAGUCGAACGGAAAGGCCCUGCUUUUGUGGGGUGCUCGAGUGGCGAACGGGUGAGUAACACGUGAGUAACCUGCCCUUGACUUUGGGAUAACUUCAGGAAACUGGGGCUAAUACCGGAUAGGAGCUCCUGCUGCAUGGUGGGGGUUGGAAAGUUUCGGCGGUUGGGGAUGGACUCGCGGCUUAUCAGCUUGUUGGUGGGGUAGUGGCUUACCAAGGCUUUGACGGGUAGCCGGCCUGAGAGGGUGACCGGCAGCACGGGAGCUGCGAGCCGGCCCAGAGCGGUGAGAGGGGAGGAGGUGGGGAAUAGGGCAGAUGGGGCGGGACAAUACGGAGAGGAGGGCGCGGCCGGGAGGACGGGGGGAGGGUGGAACACCGGUGUCGCGGGGGACGAGGGGGGUGUGAUGGUAAUGGGCAAAGAGGCAACGGCUAGGUACAGGCCGGUGGCCGCGAUAACAGACGGAAGAGCACCAGUCUGAAC